rnacentral:tRNA from 1 species
GCCCUUGUGGUGGAAUUGGUAUACACACAGGUCUCAGGAACCUGGCCGCUUUGCGGCAUGUGGGUUCGAGUCCCACCAAGGGCA